AUGGGCAGUUGGGGCAUACUGCGGCGGCGCGACCUAUUGAGUCCUAGUAGGCUUCUAUUGGCAUCACCGAGGGGGACAUUCGCUGAGUCGGAGAUGUAUGCAGCGCCGGCGGCAAUGCGGGAUUUGUUGGUGAUCCCAGUGUUGCAAGUGUGCUCUGAGGCUACAAGUGGUUUGACACGCAGGAAGAUGUACACUCUCACUCAUGUGGAUGCUUUGGCAUGUGAAAAAUGGAGCAAAGUUCAGAUAUGUACAAAAGUUCCAAGAAAGAUGCUCAAGUGUGGUAAAUGUGGAGUGAUCGGACAUCGUCAAAAUCAUGGGGCAAGCGUGCAGAUCCAUUUUAGCCUAAUUUCCUUAACUUUUGACAUGGUCCCAUUUGAUUUGUGUUUUAAUUUGGACUUUGAUUCAAAAUGUAUAUUCGUUAUGCGAACUGAUAUUGUUUCCCUGAUUGUCCCUGAAUUAUACGCCACUCUUGAAACAUUUGCUAAGUAUUUUUAUUCCUGCUAA
rnacentral:rRNA from 1 species